rnacentral:rRNA from 1 species
AGUGAACGCUGGCGGUAGGCCUAACACAUGCAAGUCGAACGGCAGCACGGUAAGAGCUUGCUCUUACGGGUGGCGAGUGGCGGACGGGUGAGGAAUACAUCGGAAUCUACUUUUUCGUGGGGGAUAACGUAGGGAAACUUACGCUAAUACCGCAUACGACCUACGGGUGAAAGCAGGGGAUCUUCGGACCUCGCGCGAUUGAAUGAGCCGAUGUCGGAUUAGCUAGUUGGCGGGGUAAAGGCCCACCAAGGCGACGAUCCGUAGCUGGUCUGAGAGGAUGAUCAGCCACACUGGAACUGAGACACGGUCCAGACUCCUACGGGAGGCAGCAGUGGGGAAUAUUGGACAAUGGGCGCAAGCCUGAUCCAGCCAUACCGCGUGGGUGAAGAAGGCCUUCGGGUUGUAAAGCCCUUUUGUUGGGAAAGAAAAGCAGCAGGUUAAUACCCCGCUGUUCUGACGGUACCCAAAGAAUAAGCACCGGCUAACUUCGUG